AAAGAGCCCAGGAGGUGCCAACCUCCCUAAAAAUACCUGAACCCUUGAUGCCAAGAGAGGCUGCAAAGACUGCAUCCUCAGGGAGCCAACCAGAUCCUCUGGGACAGCCUUCAGGUCACCCACACACUACAGAUGGGGAAACUGAGGCCCAUACAAAGAAAGGACACACACCAGGCCUGGGACCCAGGGAGGGGCUCUGCAGAGUAUCUCUGCCGCCAGUCAGGGUAAAGGAGGGGGAGGCUCUGCAGUCCAGAGCCCCAAGUGGGGCUGAGAGAUGGGCAGGGCUGAGCCACAGACUGAGCCCUGCUCUAGCCCCAGACACUCCACAGAACCAAGGGGCAGCUCCUACAAGUGGAAGCAGUUCACUGGGUUCGGUAACCACGAAGGGAGGUCCUAUGGCGGGUCCCUGGGACAUGGUGGAACUGCCUUGCUAGGACAGGUUUAUUCUUCUCAGGCAAGGGAGACUAGGAAUGGCCCCAAAGAUCGAGAAUAGGGGUCACCCUCCUUUCUCACAGUGCAGUCCCAGAAGCAAUAGGUUGUAUUACCUGGGAGCUCAUUGGAAAUGCAGAAGUGCAGGCCCCGCCCCAGAGCUGCUGGCUCACACCCCAAGUGAUUCUGCUCAUUAAAGUCGGAGAAGUACUGGCCUCUGGAGCCACCUAGCAUCAGGCCUGGCCGAGCAGUGACAUGUGUGAUUAAUGCACAUACAUAAUGUUAUUCAUUGCCAGGAGGGGGUCAGGGAGGACUGGAACCAGGAAAGGAAGAAUCCCUAGGAUGAAAAAUCCAGAGUUAAAAGUGCUGCUGCCCCUGGGAGUGUCAGAGUGAUGGAAUCCGGUGAAAUAAAAGUUGUAAGUUCAUCCAGGCUGCCUCCUCGGCGGGCUGAAGGCUCCUCCCAUAUCUCUGACAGCUGCUUUCUAGUCCCAGCUGUGACAAGGAGCUUGGCACCUGUCAGGCUGUCCAUUGCAGGGUGGAUGCUGGGACUAACGGAGCCUUCAGAAGGGGAGCAGAUGCCACUGCAUGGGCCCAGCUGCUAGCUCUGCAGCACUUCACUCAGGUGGAGUUGCUGGCCCCUGGCCGGGUCCUUCUUAGCUCCCUCCUCACUCCAUCAGAAAUUGACUUUCCACCUGUGUUUGCAAAGUCAUUUAUGAGCCUCUCUUCCCUGACUGCAGAGUCUGCCACACUGUUAAAGAGGCCCAGAGUCUGCCACACUGUUAAAGAGGUAGAAGUCCCACGGCUGGGAUGCAGAAGGUGGUGCUGACCUCGCUCCUCCCCUUCCUCCUGCAUCUCAGACAAGCAGGCACAGCAGCUCAGCUAAGUCAAAUAUCCACAGGCCUUUCCCAAACUGCGCAGACACUGUCCUGCAAAAGGUGCAGAGGUGUGGCAUGUCAGCUUGGAAUAGCACCCCUUGCCAUAGGGACUUGGAACUACAGGGGCUUGUUUCCCCAGGGAACCAAGGAUCAUUUCCCAGGGAAUUCUGUUGAGCCAGGACAUGUACACAGUACAGGAAGUCCAGACCCCUGCCUCCCUGCCCUCUCCUAGGGCUCUAGGCCAGGACAUAGCCCCUGAUGACUCCAUCUGCACGUCCCAAAGGCCUCAAGUUCAGGCAUCCUCCCCCCUUCCCCUGCACUGCUGCCGUCUCUUCCUUAUCAAGUAGCUCCACUGUUGCUCAGCUGUCCAAGCCACAAACAUGGGGUCACCUUCAGCCCUGACCUUCCACUCCCUCCCCUCUCUCCACCAUACCCCCAUGCCAAUUUUGGAAUUCUGAUAAUCCCCCCUCCUUCAUAAGUGUACACUGUUCUUCCCUCUCCAUCCCCAUUGGCAGUGACCAGGUCCAAGACCUGUUACCCCCUCUCUGCCUCCUCACUGGUCCUCCUCAUCCUAAGAUCCAUCCGAGCGGCAGUUACCUCGUGCGAGGGGCUUGGAGCCAGAGCCUGACUCCCUCUUCAGCCGGCUCCACUUUACUCCAAGUGCCCAUCCAUGAGUCUGGAUAAGGUUCAGCUGGCUGGUGACUGGAGUGAUUUUUCAAAAUCUGAGAAGAACAGGGGCAACCAGGCUGCCCCUUUCAUCUCUGACGUUUGUGUGUAUGUGUGUGCAAGGAUGUGUGCACACACUGCACACGUGGACUUGGGAACUCCCAUGGAGAUGUUCCUAGGCCCUUCAGCAGGUGACCCCAAGCCCCAGGAGGCAGGUGUUGAGGUUAAGAUUUGGACCCAAGCAGGUCGGAUCUCAAGCAUGUUUAUACCCUCCACUCAUACCCACGUUUGCUUGUACCCCCACGAAAGAGAUGAAUUUUUUAAUUUUUAAUUUAUUUAGAUAUACAUGACAGUAGAGUAUAUUUUGACAUAAUACACAUACAGAGAAUAUACUUAUUCUAAUUAGGAUCCGAUUCUUGUGGUUGAACAUGAUGUGGAGUUUCAUUGAUCAUGUAUUCACAUAUGAACCUAGGAAAGUUACGUCCGAUUCAUUCUGUUGUCUUUCCUAAUCCCAUCCCCUCUCCCUUCCCUUCAUUCCGCUUUUUCUAACUACAAUGAACUUCUAUUCCCUGACCCCAUUGUGUGUUAGCGUCCACAUUAUAGAACAUUCAGCCUUUGGUUUUGUGGGUGGCUUAUUUCACUUAGUAUGAUAAUCUCCAGUUCCAUUCAUUUAGCAGCAAAUGCCAUAAUUUCAUUCUUCUUUAUGGCUGAGUAAUGUUCCAUUGUGUAUAUAUAUCACAUUUUCUUUAUCCAUUCAUCUAUUGAUGGGCACCUAGGUUGGUUCCAUAGCUUUGCUAUUGUGAGUUGAGCUGCUAUAAACAUUGAUGUGGGUGUAUAACUGUAGUACACUGAUUUUAAGUCCUAUGGGUAUAUUCCAAGGAGUGGAAUAACUAGGUCAAAUGGUGGUUCCAUUCCAAGUUUUCUGGGGAACCUCCAUACUGCUUUCUAGAGUGGUUGCACCAAUUUGCUGUCCCAUCAGCAAAGUAUGAGUGUACCUCUUUCCCCACAUCCUCGCCAAUAUUCAUUGUUACUAAUAUUCCUGAUAAUUGCCAUUUUGACUGGAGUGGUGGAAUUUCAUUUAGGAGACCAGAUUUUUUUGCCACAGGCCCUGGGUUUUGAUUGAAGGAUUUUUGACAAGCAGUUUUCUGCAAUCUUAUUUGUGUUUCUGGAAGAUGUCCUCCUGUGUCCAUACUAGCUUUCCUCAUGCAGAGAGGUGGAGCUACAUGCCACUUUUGUCAGGGCACCAUUGUGCUCUUUGGGGCUCAGGAAGAGGAAAGGGACAUUAGCAGAAACCCAACCCCAGCUUAAGCUCACUUUCAGGUGGCGGGUCACGUCCCUUUCUCCCAGUGGCAGGCCUAGCUUUCUCUGUGGAAAGAUGCAGAACUGCAGACAGACAGACAGACAGGGGCUCACUUCCACACCUUCCUGGCAGCAGCAGGCCUCUCCUGUCAAUAAACGAGAGGGCAAGACUCGAGACCAUGGGGCCCCCGGCAGGGCUGGCCCAAGCUCAGUGCCAAGCUGUGCAUGGAGAUUAAAGUCGGGUGAGGCCACACCCAGGAUUCUGAGCAUUGGUGGCCUCAAGUACUGCACUCACCUGUGGCUCAUUUCUACCUGUGCCUGAAUCCCUGGCCUGCAGCCCGCUCUUGCCCUUGUAGCAAGGGCUCCUUCCCUAAACUGACCAGACAUUUCCAAGGCUUCUGCUCCCAGCCGCUCUAUCCACUUGCCACAUGGUCUAGGGAUCGCUCUGAACACCAUCCCUCCACCCCUGCAGGGCCCCCCCCCCCCAACAGCUAUUGGUCCUGAUGGAAUGA
rnacentral:lncRNA from 1 species